rnacentral:misc_RNA from 1 species
GAGGGUCGUCAGGCCUCCUACUGUUCUUUACCAAACCCGCGUACCUAUUGCUGGAUACUGUCUCUGCCUCGGCGGCGGCCCCAGGGGGGGCCUCUGCCCAUCCCGCCGGUUGACACCGGCGGGCGGGUGUCGCCGGCGGCAACCUAACCACCGAACAUGAGAACAUUAUAUGAAACAAAACCUAUUA